CCAGUACGAGAGGAACGGUGGGUCCGGACCAAUGGUGCACCUCCUGCCCGACAGGCCACCAGGGGAGGGCAGCCACGUCCGGCAGGUUUUACCCCUGAAAGCCUCUCAAGGGGGAAACCGCGCU
rnacentral:rRNA from 1 species